GCCACAUUUACCCUCCUAGAACAUAUAUAUAUAGUAUAUUAUAUACAUAUAUAGUAUAUUUAGCCACCCUCCUAGAACAGAAGUACAACGACAGUUCAAAAGAAUCACUGGAUCACUUUUUCACUAUGAAGGCACACUGAGGCGGCUACGGGGCCGUUUGUAUCUAGAAUAAACUGUCGUCAACAAGGUUUUCACUAAAUAAACAUCAGCAAAGGAAUGGAGAGAAAGAGGAAGCAGUAGAUGAGUGCAGCAGAAAAAAUGGGGUGGUGCCGAGGCUGGCUGGCUGGCUGGCUGGCGAGUCAGACCCUGGAAUUACCGAGCGAGCGAGUAUGCCGGUGAAGCUGGGAAAACGACAAGAGCAGAUGAAACAAAAAAAAACCAUCGAGGAGAGAAAAAGAACAAAGACAACUAAAUAGGACGACAACGUUAGUACUUAGGCUAUCAAUCUACCCCUUGCUCGAUCGGGGAUUUUCGACACGCGUGGCGAAAAAGCUUAUACUGUAGCCACACAAGGAUCACGUAACGUACUCUAAAUGCUCUUUCAUUGAGGGGACGGGGGUGCUUGUCCCACUCGACUUUUGAAGAGCAAGCAAAUAGAAUGUUAAGUAAGCUCAGACUCCUGAGUGACCAAAGAGCUAGAAAUUCAGCUUUCCGCUUUUCUUCGCAACAUACAUGAAGCCAUUAUGCAUGCACUGAGCACUACCGUAUUAAAUUCGACUCCUCGUAUAACU